rnacentral:lncRNA from 1 species
AUGAGACCACGUUUAUGGAUGCUUGCCCUCGCCAUAUUGCCAAAUUGCCAGGCGAAAGGAAGUCAAAUAUGUAACGAAUGCUGCAAACUUCCGGAGGACCCGAUGUGUCAUGACCCGAGACUCGAGGUCUUUUACGAGUUCCAAGACCAAUGGCCAACCGGGAUCGCAAUGACCCCCUGCGGUCGGAAGUUCGCAUGCUACCCAGCUAGCAUUGACCCUCUAAACACCAACGACGGGUGCAACGGCAAGUACGCCGUGGCUGAACUCACCGACUGUGGAGAGGUCCCUUACCCUAACCUCUGCAUCAACAACCCAGAAGGAGGUGUAAUCAACUACUCGACUUGUCCACCAACAACAAAAGGUCUCCGGCAUCACUUCAUUAGCGUCCAAUCGAUAGUUUACGUAAAAGAGUGCAAUAGUAUCAUCUGUUUGGACGCAGGUCGUGCUAGAGAUUGCAAACAGAUUCUCUACCAAGGGUCUUCGGGCGGCACCAAGGUUGUUAUGAUCGACCUAUGCAACGACUGCGUCGCACGAAUUUAUUAUUUUGAUGACAAUGUCGCAAAACCGACAUCAUACUUCAGAGACCUGGCUGUGGACCCCAAGAAAAACGUAGCGUACAUUGUGGAUGGGUUGGAAUCCACAAUUGUCGUGUUGGACCUCUGCACCGGAAAGUCUUACGUCGCAUUCAAAGGAGAUCAAACCCUUUCCAAUAAUCCAGACGCAUUGCCCGUCUUUUGGGGUCAACCCUACUACAGCUUAGACGGCGGCAACACACUCGGGAACACCACCGUGGGACCAAUACCCUUAGCUGUAUCCACUGUUUCUCUUUCCCCGGACGGAAAGCUGCUGUACUAUUCACCAGUCUUCGGCCGGUUCUUGUAUUCUGUGUGCACGAAGUCUUUACUGUGCAACCUGCCGUCAACCGAAGUCUCAAAAACUGUGAGGAGCCAUGGAGAGAAAGGAGUGUCCUUCGGGAUACUCUGUGACCAGAGGGGCAGAGUUUGGUCCGGCUGUGCGGAAAAUAACGGGAUCACGGUUUUUAACCCUAGCUGCCCGUUCGCGAGAAAUUUUCUUUACAUCCGUGACUUGCGGUUGGGUGGAUUAUAUUUGAUAAUUGAACCGGGAGAUGGAUAUAUUUAUUGCGUUAACAACUAUAUGUUCGGUCUGCCGUUGGUGUAUCCGGGAACGAGCCUUCCCUUCCUGGACAGGAGGAGGAAGCCGUAUGUGGUGUUCAGAUUUAAGUCCCCCUGUGAGAGCCUUUGCCCGAGUUUUUGUGACCCGGCAACACUGGGACUACAAGUAUGUUCCUGUGGUUGUUGUAGCUGA